rnacentral:lncRNA from 1 species
CCAUGCAAAUUAGAUUUAUUUUCUUCUUUUUUAUAUUACAAAAUUAAUUCUUGUGAUUAAGGUAUUAAUGUAGCUUAUCUCUAAGAGGUACAGAUCGUAUCAACAGAUCACGGCUCAUUCUAUUGGAGUAUAAACUAUCUAAAUCUAGUUAUGAGAUAUAGGAUUUAAUCUAAUAUACCACGAUAUAUCUUUCCUAGGCACAUAUCGUAUCCCAAGAUCAUGGCAUGUCUGUAAAUGGUAUAAGCCAUGCAGGAUAGAUUAAUAGCUCAAAAAAAUAAAAAGAUAUGAAAUAAAAGUAUAAUUUUAUUACAUAAAAAUUAAAUAUAAAAAAAUAAAAAUUUAUUUACAAACUUCAUCAUCUUUCCAGAUUGAAGAAAUUUAACCACGCAUCGACAUCUAUAAUGCUUCCUCCAUAUUUUUCCCUAAACAAGAGCUAAAAAUAAAUAUUGAAGAUUGCUGCUGCUCUUCUCUACUACCUGCUCCCUCUAUUUCUCAUUUUUUGCUCACUAUCUGGAUGCCCUUUUCUUUGUUCCCGUAGGUCUCUUUUUAUAGAGCCUUAGCGUCUCUUAUCCUGGCAACCUACGGACUAUUGAUCCAUCUCAAAUUUGCAUCUCAGGCAUAUUUAAACCGAGUCCCAAGUGUCCCAGGCAUACAAGACAGUUUCUGGCCAUUGGAUUGAAAUCAAACAGUCCAAAUCUCACCAAAAAUAACCUUAAAUCAAUCAAAAAAAUAUAUCAACC